rnacentral:rRNA from 1 species
GGGUGGGAAACACAUGGGUGAUCUGCCUUGGUGAUGGGGAUAACUACGCGAAAGUGUAGCUAAUACCCGAUACGCAGCGGAGAGUCAGUUAUCCGCUGGAAACGAUGGGGACCGCAAGGCCUGUCGCACUAAGAUGAGCUCAUGUCCCAUUAGCUAGUUGGCGGGGUAAUAGCCCACCAAGGCGAAGAUGGGUAGCUGGUCUGAGAGGACGAUCAGCCACACUGGAACUGAGAUACGGUCCAGACUCCUACGGGAGGCAGCAGUGGGGAAUAUUGCGCAAUGGGCGAAAGCCUGACGCAGCAACGCCGCGUGAGUGAAGAAGGCCUUCGGGUUGUAAAGCUCUUUCGGUUGGGAAGAAGGGUGAUUAUGUGAAUAGCGUAGUCAUUCGAUGGUACCAAAAUAAGAAGCACCGGCAAACUUCGUGCCAGCAGCCGCGGUAAUACGAAGGGUGCGAGCGUUGUUCGGAAUUACUGGGCGUAAAGGGUUCGUAGGCGGGAAGACAAGUUGAGUGUGAAAACCCUGGGCUUAACCCGGGACGUGCAUUCAAAACUGUUUUUCUUGAGUACUGGAGAGGGUGGUGGAAUUGCUGGUGUAGGAGUGACAUCCGUAGAGAUCAGCAGGAACGCCAGAGGCGAAAGCGACCACCUGGCCGAGUACUGACGCUGAGGAACGAAAGCGUGGGGAGCAAACAGGAUUAGAUACCCUGGUAGUCCACGCCCUAAACGAUGAUAACUAGAUGUUGGAUGCGUUUAACCAUUCAGUAUCGAAGCUUACGCGCUAAGUUAUCCGCCUGGGGAGUACGGCCGCAAGGCUAAAACUCAAAGGAAUUGACGGGGACCCGCACAAGCGGUGGAGUAUGUGGUUUAAUUCGACGCAACGCGAAGAACCUUACCUGGGUUUGACAUCCUUUGAAUACGGCAGAGAUGCCGUAGGCUCGCAAGAGACAAAGAGACAGGUGCUGCAUGGCUGUCGUCAGCUCGUGUCGUGAGAUGUUGGGUUAAGUCCCGCAACGAGCGCAACCCUUAUCUUUAGUUGCCAUCAUUAAGUUGGGUACUCUAAAGAGACUGCCGAUGACAAAUCGGAGGAAGGUGGGGAUGACGUCAAGUCCUCAUGGCCCUUACGUCCAGGGCUACACACGUACUACAAUGGCCAAAACAAAGCGAAGCUAAGCAGUAAUGCAGAGCAAACCGCAAAAACAUGGUCUCAGUUCGGAUUGUGGUCUGCAACUCGACCACAUGAAGUUGGAAACGCUAGUAAUCGCGGAUCAGCAAGCCGCGGUGAAUACGUUCCCGGGUCUUGUACACACCGCCCGUCAAACCACGAAAGUUGUCUUGACCAGAAGUUGAUGAGCUAACCGCAAGGGGGCAGUCCACCAAGGUU